GAACGGACGCUGGCGGCAUGCCUACCCCAUGCAAGUCGAACGAGACCUUCGGGUCUAGUGGCGCACGGGUGCGUAACACGUGGGAACCUGCCCUUAGGUUCGGAAUAACUCCCCGAAAGGGGUGCUAAUACCGGAUAAUGUCUUCGGACCAAAGAUUUAUCGCCUUUGGAUGGGCCCGCGUUGGAUUAGCUAGUUGGUAGGGUAAAAGCCUACCAAGGCGACGAUCCAUAGCUGGUCUGAGAGGAUGAUCAGCCACACUGGGACUGAGACACGGCCCAGACUCCUACGGGAGGCAGCAGUGGGGAAUAUUGGACAAUGGGCGAAAGCCUGAUCCAGCAAUGCCGCGUGAGUGAUGAAGGCCUUAGGGUUGUAAAGCUCUUUUACCCGGGAUGAUAAUGACAGUACCGGGAGAAUAAGCUCCGGCUAACUCCGUG
rnacentral:rRNA from 1 species